GCCCGCGUGCCGAAGGUCCUGGGCUCGCUGGCGACGCACCGCGAGCAGGUGCGCGAGCGGGUGUUCGACGCCCUGCGCGGGCA
rnacentral:tRNA from 1 species